GGCAUAGGCAGGGCGCGCGGGCGCGGGAAUACGUAUGGUCCGAGCGUUGCUCGGAAGUAUUGUGCGGAAAGGGCUCGUAGGCGGUCUGGCGCGUCGGAGUGAAAACUUACAGCUUAACUGUGAGCGUGCUUUCGAUACGGGCAGACUUGGGGCAUUCAGGGGAGAACGGAAUUCCUGGUGUAGCGGUGAAAUGCGCAGAUAUCAGGAGGAACACCGGUGGCGAAGGCGGUUCUCUGGGAAUGUCCUGACGCUGAGGAGCGAAAGUGUGGGGAGCGAACAGGAUUAGAUACCCUGGUAGUC
rnacentral:rRNA from 1 species